UAUCGUCUGAGGCGUGCCCUCUUCUCAUUGCUGCCAUCAGAGAGGAGGUGCAGGGGCCUGAAGACCAACAGUCAAUAAUCCAGAAACAGCUUCUUCCCCUCCACCAUCAGAUGUCGGAAUGGUACAUGAACCCAUGAACACUGCUUCACAAACUGGACUGUCCAGCACUGAAAAAUGAGGGGUCAUCUUAUAGAGGUGUCUAAAAGCAUGAACAACACUGAAAAACAUCACUGCAUACAGUCUUUUUUCAGAAGGUUGAGGAAUCAAAACGAGAUGGCAUAUAUUCAAGUUGCAUCGAUAUGUUGGGACCAGGUUAGAUCCUCGGAGAUCUUGACACCCAGGAACUUGAUGCUGCUCUCUCUCUCCACUUCUGAUCCCUGUGUGAGGAUUGACUGAAAUCUCUGCUGUUUUACCUCGGAGGUUACUUAUGAUCUUAUUACCACAACUGCGGGUAGCUGGCUGAAAAUCAUGACCCAAGAUUGAGUUAAGUUCCGAUUUAGAAGUCCAGCUAAGGAUGACACCGGGAUUGGAUUUUCAAAACCUUGCACAGAGGCAAAGUCACCGAGGCAGGGCAAACACUCCAAUGAGGUGACUCCCUACGAGCCUGUGGCGCAGGUCUUAAUGACACCAAGACCAUUAAGGAAAGCAGAAGGAGCCUCACCAGCAGUGCACUCUGACAGGCUAAGUCAGGCAUGCCAAGUUGGGCAAGGUACCUUAUGUCUUUCUUUCACCUGACCUGCUGAGGAUUCUCUGCAAUUUCUGAGCUUAUUCCAGAUUUCAACCAUUUGCAGCUAUUUUUCAAUUGAUUUUCACAACCUUGUGUUCUUUCCUCUACUCCCAGUAUACAUCAGAUGAGUCCUAGUAAAGGUAUAUUGAGUGAUGCUGGGGGAAUGAGAGUGGACCACGGGGCUACAUUAAAUUCCUUACCUUCUAGUCCCCUCUACUCAAAUGUUUCUUGGAAUUUUAUACCAAUGAUUACCUGAUUUUAUAUAGCCUACAGGCACUAACAUGAGGCCUGCAUGUUGCACAUACAGCUGCUGAAAAGGGGGAAUAUCAGCGUAGUGUUGCUUAUGGUCACCAUAGUCAUGCUUCUAGUGGAGGUAUGGAGCGGAAAAGGCCCACAACAUCUCAGUAGCACCACUGAAAUCACUGCCAAAGAGAAAUAUUCCAUAUCGAGUGUGAAAGGAAGCUGCAGGAGCAGCUCAGGUGCUGGAUAUGGGAAGAGAUUGACUGCCGGUGUUUAGGGGGCAAAAUGCCGUUGCUUAGUUUGUACAAGCCAAGGCCCAAUUUGCUCUGUGAGAAAUCUCUGCUGCCAACACCAAAUAUUUCUAUGUGGUAGUGUCGCUCAGCAACUCCACAGCUCUGAGAGUGGUGAGUCUACUAGAACAAUCACCUGAACAUGAUAAACACCGAUUGCUGAAAACUCACCUUUUACAGACUUUUGGACUAUCAGAGUCAGAGCACGCCAUACAGUUGCUCUCCUUGCCCAGCCUCGCCGAUGCUAGGCGUGUGUAAAUAAUGGACCACGUGCUGUCUCUGCUGUGAAAUCACCAUCCUUGUUUUAUUUUUGAAAAACUCCUUAUGCAACAAAUGCCUGAUCAAGUUUGCAAAGCCCUCACUAAUGCACCUGUGAAGGACUAUAGGGAGCUUACUAAAAUAGCUGACAGUCUACACUCAGCCAGGCAGAGGUGCAUCAUUCCUCCUCAUGUCCCUGCCUUAAUAAACCUGGUCAACAGGGCCUCCAACACAAGCAUGUGAAACAGUCUACUGCUGUAAAACAGACUAUGCUGGGUCUGUGUUUUACACGCACUCGCUUUGGUAAGUGCCAACCAUCUUGCAGUUUUGACAGUUCCAGCGCAUCUGGACAUCAGAGGUGGACACCGUGGGUUCCAACUGCCAGGGUUGUCUUUUAUUCAUUACAGACAACCUUUCAGGGUGUCACUUCCUGUGAGACAUAGGUGUUCAAGAGAGUGUGCUGCCAGCAUUGCCUAUUGAUAAGAAGGCAAAGAGCAAUGAAACCUCGCUGGAGAUUGCCAACAGCAGCAGGAUUCAGACUUACAGGACACAAUGGGUGACACUCUACUUCAGUGGGUGAUGUUACACAAGGGACUUCGUCUUGGCUAAAGUGGCUAGACCUCUGUUCGGUGCACAUUUCCUGUGUGCCCAAGGACUGUUAAUUGAUUUUCACUGCUGGAUUAUGGAUGUCAAGGAGUUUAGGUCGUUACCCUGCUCCCUGCUCCCUGCGGCCUCGCCUCGCCUCGCCUCGCCUCAAGUCUCCGACCUCCGGCCUCCCCUCGCCUCAAGUCUCUGGUCUCCGGCCUCCGGUUUCGCCUCACCUCAAGUCUCCGGCUUCGCCUCGCCUCGCCUCACCUCAAGUCUCCGGCCUCGCCUCGCCUCAAGUCUCCGACCUCCAGCCUCCCCUCGCCUCAAGUCUCUGGUCUCCGGCCUCCGGUUUCGCCUCACCUCAAGUCUCCG